rnacentral:rRNA from 1 species
AAAAGCUAGAGCUAAUACAUGCACCAAAGCUUUGUCCUCUCGGAAAAGCGCAUUUAUUAGAACAAAACCACGCGGCUUCGGCUGCUUCUUGUUGACUCAGAAUAACUAAGCUGACCGCAUGGCCUUGUGCCGGCGGCGUGUCCUUCAAGCGUCCACUUUAUCAACUUGACGGGAGCAUAAUCGACUCCCGUGGUGGUGACGGAUAACGGAGGAUCAGGGUUCGACUCCGGAGAAGGGGCCUGAGAAAUGGCCACUACGUCUAAGGAUGGCAGCAGGCGCGCAAAUUACCCACUCUCGGCUCGAGGAGGUAGUGACGAGAAAUAACGAGAUCGUUCUCUUUGAGGCCGGUCAUCGGAAUGGGUACAAUUUAAACCCUUUAACGAGUAUCAAGCAGAGGGCAAGUCUGGUGCCAGCAGCCGCGGUAAUUCCAGCUCUGCUAAUACAUAGAAUUAUUGCUGCGGUUAAAAAGCUCGUAGUUGGAUUCGUAUCGGCACCCUGGAACCCUCCGGGUGUUUCUGGGUGUUAUCGAUUUAUCGUAAUGUUCGGUUUUGAGUCCUUAACAGGAUUCUUAACAGGCAUUGCAAGUUUACUUUGAACAAAUCAGAGUGCUUCAAACAGGCGUUUUCGCUUGAAUGAUCGUGCAUGGAAUGAUAGAAAAUGAUUUCGGUUCAGUUUUAUGGUUUUACGGACUGAGAUAAUGGUUAACAGAGACAAACGGGGGGCAUUUGUAUGGUCCCGUGAGAGGUGAAAUUCUUGGACCGUGGCCAGACAAACUACAGCGAAAGCACUUGCCAAGAAUGUCUUCAUUAAUCAAGAACGAAAGUCAGAGGUUCGAAGGCGAUCAGAUACCGCCCUAGUUCUGACCGUAAACGAUGCCAACUAGCGAUCCGCCGAUGGAAAUUAUAUUGCCUUGGUGGGGAGCUUCCCGGAAACGAAAGUCUUCCGGUUCCGGGGGAAGUAUGGUUGCAAAGCUGAAACUUAAAGGAAUUGACGGAAGGGCACCACCAGGAGUGGAGCCUGCGGCUUAAUUUGACCCAACACGGGGAAACUCACCCGGCCCGGACACUGUGAGGAUUGACAGAUUGAUAGCUUUUUCAUGAUUCAGUGGAUGGUGGUGCAUGGCCGUUCUUAGUUCGUGGAGUGAUUUGUCUGGUUUAUUCCGAUAACGAGCGAGACUCUAACCUACUAAAUAGCUGGUACA